AACCCUACUCUCUAGCGCUCCCUUCAAUCCAUCAAUCGUUGUGCUUAAGUUGCUAGGAUGCUUAAUUGCACGGUGAUGAAAUCGAGGCUAGGGAAGGUCUAGAAACUAAUAAACAAUUGUCUGUAAUAAAAAUCUGAGUCGUCGGAACAGAACAAUUUGACUAGAUCUUUCUGUAAUAAUUGUAUUAUCAUUUAUGACAUGGUAUGGGACAUGUUGCUUUAAAUAUCUGCUCAGUGCCGCGCCCCGAUGUUUAUGCCAUCGGUUGGGGUGUGACAAAAAAACGAUGA
rnacentral:lncRNA from 1 species